rnacentral:rRNA from 1 species
GCGGCGCAUUAGCUAGUUGGUGAGGUAACGGCUCACCAAGGCGACNAUGCGUAGCCGACCUGAGAGGGUGAUCGGCCACAUUGGAACUGAGACACGGUCCAGACUCCUACGGGAGGCAGCAGUGGGGAAUAUUGCACAAUGGGCGAAAGCCUGAUGCAGCAACGCCGCGUGAGUGAUGAAGGCUUUCGAGUCGUAAAGCUCUUUGAUCAGGGAUGAUAAUGACAGUACCUGAAAAACAAGCCACGGCUAACUACGUG